AGCUCCUACUACUUAUCCAGUCUCUGCAACUUCACAGGGUGAGGUGAGAGAACCCCUCUUCCUAGAAGGAGAGGCUUUUCUUAGGUUAAAUGCCUCAAAGUAUAUUCUCUGGUGCGGAAGUAUAUCCUCUGGGGCUUUGAGGAUGAAGAUAGGGCCCAUGCAGGCACCUCUGGACUCCGGCAAAGAAGGGCAAGAACAGACCAACCACUAUUCUAGGGGCCGAGCAAGGAGACUACCACCCCCUGCACGGUUUCACUGAGCGAGGACCCCAGCCAGUUCUGGGGGACUGACCACAGCCUCCUGACCGUCCUGCAGACCCCAGACAGAAGUUGAGGCUGAAGCAGAAUGAGGAGAGCAAAGUGGAGGCCUCACAUGGUUUCCAUGAGUGUUUUCCUGUCUCAGAGGACUGACUUUGAAUAUCAGUGAGGACAUGUGUGUUGGCUUUCUUUCCACUUUUUUCCCACUGAACACCAAUUCUUGGUGGUUCUGACUCUUUCUAGAGCUCUCAGGCAGGCAACCUGGGUGUCCCUCGCCCCUGCGGAAUCGUGCCAAGGCUCUGAUGUGUUGCCAUCGCAGCUGCCCCGGUGUGGGAGGGCAACCAGCCAAGGCCUACGCUUCUCCCGAACAGGACAGCAUGCGAGGCAGCAACAUCGAGCGCAAGGAGGGCCCCGCCGUCCAGCCCUGUGCAGCCCCGCCUGCUUCACUAGACCAGGCUUUGGCUUGAGGAGUCAGGACGCCAAUCUCCCUUUGUCCGUCUCUAGCAACUUCGGGGAGGUGGCUCGAUAGAUCGGCUGUUCCCAAACGGCCUUGGACACAAAUAAACCACCUGGCUCUGCCAUUCGUGGCUUCUGACUGUAGGCAAGUUGCCUAACUUCUCUGAGCGACUGUCUUUUUUUGUGCGAAAGAGGAUUUUAUGUCUGUCUUGCCAGGUGAUAGCACUGACUGGCGAGACUAUAUGUCGCUGAGACACCUCGUAGGAGAUCAGUGUGCGGCUGCCGUUGUUUACUCGCUAAGUCGUGUCUGACUCUUUUCCAUCCCCAGGGAUGGGAGCCUGCCAGGCUCCUCCGUCCAGGGGAAUUUUCUAGGCAAGAAUACUGAAGAGUCAUGUAUGGAUGUGAGAGCUGAACCAUAAAGAAAGCUGAGCGCUGAAGAAUUGAUGGUUUUGAACUAUGAUGUUGGAGAAGACUCUUGAGAGUCCCUCGGACAGCAGGGAGAUCAAACCAGUCAGUCCUAAAGGAAAUCAACCCUGAAUAUUCAUUAGAAGGGCUAUGCUGAAGCUCCAAUACU
ensembl:lncRNA